AUUGAACGCUGGCGGCAGGCUUAACACAUGCAAGUCGAGCGGGGUGAUGGUGCUUGCACUAUCACUUAGCGGCGGACGGGUGAGUAAUGCUUAGGAAUCUGCCUAUUAGUGGGGGACAACAUCUCGAAAGGGAUGCUAAUACCGCAUACGUCCUACGGGAGAAAGCAGGGGAUCACUUGUGACCUUGCGCUAAUAGAUGAGCCUAAGUCGGAUUAGCUAGUUGGUGGGGUAAAGGCCUACCAAGGCGACGAUCUGUAGCGGGUCUGAGAGGAUGAUCCGCCACACUGGGACUGAGACACGGCCCAGACUCCUACGGGAGGCAGCAGUGGGGAAUAUUGGACAAUGGGGGGAACCCUGAUCCAGCCAUGCCGCGUGUGUGAAGAAGGCCUUAUGGUUGUAAAGCACUUUAAGCGGGGAGGAGGCUCUUUUGGUUAAUACCCAAGAUGAGUGGACGUUACUCGCAGAAUGAGCACCGGCUAACUCUGUGCCAGCCGCCGCGGUAA
rnacentral:rRNA from 1 species